GUUCCAGAUGAGAUCUGAGUGGGGGCGUAGCCAAACCAUAUCACUCCAGGAGAUUCUUUUGGAUAUUAAUAUUAGGAAUAUCAGUAUUUCUCCUUAACAAAUAAUUUAAUAGUGAACAAUAUGAAACACGGAGGACAAUGCCGAGGUAUUGUUUCCCUCAGGGAUGCCUUCUCCAACUCCUGUAUGUGUCUCUGUGUUUAAUGCUCUCAAAGCACUUCUUAUUACCCAUAACCGCUGGAUAGCAUUGGACUGAAGCUUUCUUAAGCACAGGGCACAGUCCGAUUGUUUAAAAGUGUGUAGCAGCCUCCCUCCCCCACUUAUCUCUCUUCCCCCUGCUCCAGCCACGUGGUGCUUGCCUGCUUCCCCUUUGCCUUCCUCCAUGAUUGUAAGUUUCCUGAGGCCUCCCCAGUCAUGCUUCCUGUACAGCCUGUGGAACCAUGAGCCAAUUAAACCUCUUUUCUUUAUAAAUUAUGCAGUCUCAGGUAGAUCUUUAUAGUAAUGUGAGAAUGGACUGAUACAGGCUGCUGAGAAAUGGUAAUAUUGUAGUGAAGGUAAUUACCUCUAGCUGCUGCAACAGACAAAUCCCCAAGUUUCCCACUCAAAUAAAGUUUAUUUUUUGCUCAUGUGGGUCCAGUUUGUCCAUCCAUCUGGACCAUAGAUUCUCCAAGGUCAUGGUUGCAAAGGAGAGGGAAGGUGGAAAAGGCACAUGGCCUUUUAACUGCCUUAGCCCAGAAGUGACAUGUGUCACUGUGGUUCAGCAUAUUUGGCCAGAUCUAAUCACAGGGCCCCAAGGAACUGCAGGGGAGGCUGGGAAAUGUAUUUUAUGAGUAUGCAUAUGGUUAGUGAACAUUAACUGCUUCUGCCACUAUAUUUUUGUCAACUAGAAUUGUAUGCAUCCCCUUUUUCUACUUAGUGUGCUAUUAAGGUUAGUAGGUUGUGGGGGGUUGGGGGUGGGAGGUAGGGAGAAACAGGAUACAAGGAUAUGCAUAGUGAUGUCUUCUAUCUUUUCUAGUAGCAGAACCCACAUUUCCUUAUGAGAACUGUCUGUCUUCCAAUUACAGCUCUUAUAGUCUGGCUUGACUGUUCCCUGGGCUGGGCAUGUGCCCUAUACCUGACCAACCAGAGAUCAUUGUAGGACAGAAGGGCGGGGCCAUAUCUGCCUAUGUGACAAUAAUUGUGCCCAUAUAAUGCCAUCAGUGAAUGUGUCCUUUGGAAAAUGAAGCCAAAUCAAGAGACCAUUGAGCCAAGAGAAAAGAGAUAAUUUGGAUGGCAUUGAUAGAUAGAACCUUUGGAUCAAGCACUGCCAGUUCCUAUCUUGACUUCCUCAAUUAUGCCAGCCAGGUAUUCCUUUACUUUGAACUAGGUUGAGUUGGAUUUCUGCAACUUGCAAAUAAAAAAGAUGAGCUAGUGGUUUUCACUCCACAAAACUUCAAAACACCAUCCUUUCACUCCUUUGUCUCUAAACUCGAAUAACUACCCAUUGCCUAAAAAAGUACUGAUUAUAGCCUCUACCUUUACAUGGUAGAAUUGUUGCUUUUAUGGUACAGUUACCAUAUAAAUAAAAAAUGUCUAAUGUCCUGUGUGUGUCUCUCCUAACCCUAGUUCAACCAUUGAAGAGUUUUUUUAAUUAGCAGUCAGCUAAUUACUACCUGAAUUAAAAUGGAUUUAAUUUUGGCAGCUAAUCAUUUCCACCUGUGAGGAAUCAAAUAGAAAAAAAGCUUGUAGAAUAUUAAGGGAGAGACUCCCCUCUAUUCUGAUCAUCUCCACAAAAACCAGACUAUUAGUCAAUAGAAGGUUUUGCAAAUAUCAAAAGUCAAUCUGAGUAAUGUUUUCUCUGGCCAUGGCAGCAUAAAGACAUAGAUCCCACAGCCAGAUCCAAACUCUGUGGAGUGUUUCAGGGGAUUUGGCUCAGUUACCCUAUUUAACCCAACACUUCACAAGAAAAGUCUGAAAGAAGAUAUGCAAUAACUUUCUGGUGACCCAAACUAUUGCAACCUCAGUCCCUAAAUCACAUGACAUUUGUUUACUUUCUUUCCAAUGGGCUGAUUAAUUAUUUGUCUUUAUUUAGUGUUCUAAAUCAGGAGCCAAAAGAAGUUGGAGCAGCUGGGGCCAAUUUUUACAUGUAAAACUAACAGAGCAAUUUGGCUGUCUGAUGCUGAACUGAAGAGUGACUUUCCUUUAACUUUGUCAUCACUACAGCAUCCAACCUGCCCUGUUCCAGAUGUGCAACAACUGGGCUUUGAAAGAGUGUGACUAGAAAAUCAAACAAGGCACGUGGACACACAAAGGAGAUAAGAGGCUCCAAGAGAUCACGUUCCUUUCUUGUGUAAUUUCUUUCAUCUAAUUCUGUCAACAUUUACUGGAAACCUCUAUCUGGAACACAGAUUACCUCAAGUAAUCUGCCUGCCUCAGCCUCCCAAAGAACUGGGACUGCAGGCAUGAGCCACCACGCCCAGACAAUUUAUAAUCCUAGUGAUCAUGUUAGAACAACAUCUGUUGUCAACCAAUCAUUGAGUAUUUGUUGAGGAUAUUCUUCGUGCUACAUUAAGUGAAUGCAGGCAGCAUAUCAAGUCUCUACCUUUUUCACAACCUAGUUUGGUGAGAUAAUGUUAGUAUAGAUUAAGCAAUUGUUACUAGUAAAAAUCAGUAUAUUAUUAAUACUAAGUUGUGUGGCACAGACUAGAACUCUCAGAAAAGAGGCUGCAAUCAUAAAUAUGGUGAGAGUCAGAGAUCCUUCUGGGCUUUAAAGAAAUGCUUAAUCAUAGACUGUGUACCUAUCCCCCUGCUGAACAAGACACAUCCUUAGUUUCAAGACAGACUGGGGUUUGGGAAUAUGGGUAGCUCUGUGCUAAUGCAUCACCCCACUGAGGAAACAGGGUUUGUAUUCUACUUACUGUGGCUUCAUUGCAUAAAUUUUAUGCUCAUUGGAGAGAAUAUUUACUCACAAUCUAGCCCAUCCAUUCUUAUAAAAGAGACCUCUGAAAGCUAAGAGUCACUUUCCUGAGGGAAAUGCAAGACUCUGGGAGAGAGAGGGCACUUUGAGAAUGGGAAAAUUGCCUGUGAAAUCAAAUUUAGGCGAAAAGAUAGCCCAGCAGCCAUAUGUAAAUCAUUCCCUCAUGUAGGAACAAUGCUGUGCACUUGGUAAUUCAAUAGAAAACAUUAGUCAUUUAUCAUCCUUAAUUAUCAGUCAUCUCUAACUGCAUCUGGUUUGCAUUUUUUAUUAGAAAGGUUUUUUUUUUUUUGAGUUGGACUCAGGCAUUUUUUUUCUUCCGUUCCUGAUUUCAUUUUGUUAUUCUUUUUAAAAUUCCAUCACUAAUUCCCAUGAUGUGAAGAGGUUUCUAUUUCAUAAGACACAAUAAAUCAAGCAACGCCUCUGUUGUAACGUCGUCCUUACUGCGCAUUUGUCAUGGGCCCUGGAUUGCUGAGUUUACUCAAGGUUAGAGAGUCAAGCUGCUUUGAGGACACACUUGGCCAGUGCCGUGAGCAUGCACGUAGCCCCAUCAGAGGAGCCGAAGGUAUAAAACUUCCGUCAACUUGAGCGACCACAGCUGCUUCAGAAAAGUCAUGGGGCAAAAAGUGACCCUGGGAGAUUUUGAAGUUUGAGUGCUCUUGUCCUGGCACUCUGGACAGUGUAUGAUGGCCACGUCACACUUUUGUAGGAAGAACUCAUGGUAACGAGUCAUGUUUUUCUCUCAUAGGAUAAUAGUAACAGCGAAUAUUUAUUAAGAAUUUUCUGCGUGUUCUGCAUUGUGCAACUUUUAAAAUACAUUGUCACAUUCAAUUCUCAUGAUAACCCUUUCGGGGGGAAAUAGUAUUUAUGUCUUUUAGAUGAGUAAACUAUGGACUUAGAAAGAUGUAGUUGCUUGUUAAAUUCUCAGCUGGUGAGUCCCUGGACCAUAAAGGUAAAAUAAAUCAUAACCCUAAGCCUUCAGGAGGUAGGCCUAUGUUACAGUGUCUCCAGAGAGAAUCAUUUUAAACAUGAAAAUCCCAGGACAAGAUAGCUAAGCUCCUAAUUUAUUUAUUUAUUUUUCUACGGUAGGGGAUUUAUUUUUUUACUGAAGUUAUAAGUUUAUAUGUUUAAUUUAAAAAUAAUGGCUGUAUUCAACAAUUGGCUCAUGAAACUUCUGCAAAUUUAACACCAUGCUCUUGUGAGCUGGAGUGAGCUGGCAUGAGCACACUACUGCCCGUAUUUAAUGAGGUUGAGAUGCCACAGCUUCCAAGGCAUGAGGAGGAGGAGGGAAUCUGAAGACAGACAAAUAGGAAUGUUGAAGUGGCUGUAUCAUGCUAACUGCACACUCAUUCCCGACUACAUUCCUCUAGAAAGCCCACAAGAUAUCUUCUUCACUAAGACUUCGAUUUUUAAAAAUUUUAUUUCUUGUUAUUUUGUUUUAGUUUAGUAGUACCUUAGGAGGAAGGCAAGGGCUGAAAAACUACCUAUUGAGUACUGUGCUCACGACCUGGGUGAAGGAAUCAUUUGUACUCCAGACCCCAAUGACAUGCAAUCUACCCAAGUAACAAACCUGCACAUGUACCUCCAAACCUAAAAUAAAAGUUGAAAAUGGAAAGAAAAAAAAAAGAUUUUGAACUAUGCGUUGGUGAAGGGAUCACCAGCAUCCUUGCAAAGCUCCGUGGUAAGCUAACUAUGACCAUGGAGGAUGUGCCAUUGAUAUGAGGAUUCUGAUUUCAAUAGGGAUGGUGGAUUCCUGGAGUAGUAAAAGGCCAAGUAGCAGCACUGAUCCACCAAACACAAGGUAUGCACAUUCACUAUAAAGAGCAGCAGACAUACUAGUGAUCAGAAAGCGUUAGAUCUUUGGUGGUGGCUAACUACCAGGGUGAUUCUAAAAAUGAAAUAGGUGAGCAGUCUGCUAGUGUAUUUUUUUAUCUACAUAACAGGAAAAAGAAAACCAACUCUAGUUCUGUUUUGUUGUUGUUGUUGUUGUUGUUUUUUUAGAGACAGGGUCUCACUUUGUUACCCAGGCUGGAGUGCAGUGGCGUGAUCAUAGCUCACUGCAACCUCAAACUCCAGGGCUCAAGUGGUCCUCCCCACUCAGCCUCCUGAAUAGCUAGAACUACAGGCAUUCAGUUAUUUUGCUUUAUUUUUUUUUUGUCUUAAUGUUUUUUGGUAGAGAAAGGGUCUCACUGUGUUGCCCAGGCUGGUUUCAAACUUCUGGCCUCUCAAAGUGCUGGGAAUCAACAGGCAUAAACCACCACUCACAGCCUGAAAAACUCUAGUUCUUACAGCCAAAAAUCUGACUUAAGUUUCCAUAAUGGAGAGUCAGGGUCACUCACCAAGUAUACUGACCUAAGCUAAUUCACAGAUUUAGAGCCCCUUGAUUGAAGGGGAGUCCAGGUCUCCUUGAGGAAGGAUUCUGCAUCAUUGCUGCGAGUAAAUACUAUAAAUCUUCAUCCACGUGUUUUCUCAAAGAGGCCUGUAGCUAUUUGUUAGAGUGACUGUGCACUGUGGAAAAGGAAAUGCCCAGAUAUUUCAGUAAUUACUAAAUACUCUCUCUUAAUUAUGUUAACUCCUGUGACCUAAACUACUCACGGUAGCCCACUAGUUAAAACGGGAGCAUUCAGUGUUCAAGAUACAGAUGAUGUCUGAGCCCAAGUUUAACUCACAGUGGGCCCAGUUGGUCAGUUGACCCCCCUGUAGUUAUUGCCCCAGUUCCUGAAUGUAUAAUGGGAAUAGACAUACUUGGCAACUAUCAGAAUCUCCACAUUGGCUCUAUGACCCCUAGGUUUAGAGCCAUUAUGGUAAGAAGGAUAAAGUGGAAGCCUCUGGAACUUCCCAUUACUACAAAGAUAGUAAACCAGAAGUGAUAUUGCAUCCCUGGGAUGAAUUGCAGAGACUUGUGCCACUGCCAAAGACUUGAAAUGUACUGGGUGAUACCUACCACAUACCCAUUUUACUUACCUGUUUGGUCUCUACAGACAUUGAAUGGAUCUUGGAGAAUGACUGUGAACCAUAAAUUUAAUCGGGAGGUAAUUCUAAUUUCAACUGCUAUCCAAAAAAUGGUAUCUUUACUGGAGUAAAUAAACACAGCCCUUGGCACUUGGUGUGUAGCUAGUGACCUGAAAAAUGCCUUUUCUUCCAUACCAAUAUGCAAAGGCCACUGGAAACAGUCUGCUUUUAUCUGGCACAGCCAAGAGUAGACUUCACGCUCUUGAGUCAGAGCUAUGUCAAUUCUUUCUUCUAUUAUACAGUCCACAGAGAAAUUGAUUAGCUUGACAUUGCACAAAAAUGUAGGGGACACUGGUCUUCUACAUUACGAUAUUGACUGGCUCUAAUAAGCAGAAAGUAGUGCAUCAGAUGCCUUAGUAAGACAUAUGUAAACUAGAGAGUGGGACAUAAACCCUACAAAAAUUCAGGGGCCUUCAGUGAGGUUCUGGGGACUCAGUGGUCUGGAGUAAGGGGAUAAGUUUCUGGAUCUAACACCAUCUACCAUGAAUAAAGAGGUAAAAUGCUUUGUAAGCAGUUAAAACAAUUUUUUUGGAGGUCACAUAUACUACAUUUGAGUAUACUACUCCCACCUAUUUACUGAGUUACCCAAUAGGCUGCCAGUUUUGAUUGUGGACCAGAGAGAGAGGGGGCCCUGCAGCAAUUCCAGCUUCAGUGACUGCUGCCCUAACACCUGGGCCUUAUGUUCCAGCAGAUCCAGUGAUAAUAUGUGCAUAGCAAAUAGGGAUGCUGUUUGGAGCUUCUGGCAAGUACCGAAAGGAGAAUCAUAAUGCAGAUCUGUAGGGUUUUGGAACUAAUCUGUGCUCUCUUCUUCAAGUAAUAAUUUUCCUUUUCAAAACAGUUUCUGGCUUGCUACUGGACCACCCAAAGACUAAAUGCCUAACCAUGGGACACCAAGAUACUAUGUGAUGUGAGCUUCCCAUUAUGAAUUCAGCGUUGUCUGAUGCACCUAGCCAUAAGGUUGAGUGUGGACAGUGCAAUCUAUCUUCAAGUGGCAUUCUUUACAAUCAAUUAAAUGACAGAUCUUGAGCCUAGUUUAGAGACGGUCUUGCAUAUUAUGCCGAUACCACCGAAAGUGGACAGCUCCAUUGUUACAGCCUUAGGGGUGACUCUGAUAAUAUGUAUGUCCUAUUGUUUCUGUUUCUUUGAACCCUGGUUAAUAGAAUAUAUAAUAUUGCUGUAAUGUAAUAUACUGUAUUAUAUUAUCAAUAUAUUGUGUAUUUUAUUAAAAUACUAAUAUUAUAUAUUACAAUGUAAUAUCAAUUGUGCACUAUAAUAUACAUGUGUAAUAAUGUAAUAGCAAUGGACCAUUCACUUUGUGUUCUCUUGUUGGAAGACUUGGUUGCCACCUUGCAGAAUCUUGUCCCAAAUCAUUAUCAUGUUUACUUUUUAUAGUUUCUUUUUCACAUUGAAAAUUAGUCUUAGGGCAUAUCCUCUAUGCUCUAAAAUGAUUUAUAAUCAAAUUGUGAUCUACUUUAUGUCAGGUUUCUCAGUGUUCUAGUUUUGAGCCAGGAAACUUUAUCAAAUGUAUAAUGGGGACUCAUAGAGCCUUGAAACUUAAUCAAAUUUAUAAAAGGGACUUUAUUUUAUUCUAUUUUUUUGCCAUUUUGGAAUUUUAUGUCCUAUUUAAAUUGUUCUCUAGCUUUUAAUUCAAAGGUCAUUGUUUUCAACAGAUAAAGAAGCAGGUACAAAGAUUCA
rnacentral:lncRNA from 1 species